UUACGCAGAGAACAUCACCACCCUGAAGUCAGAGACUAACCCUGAAGGACUCAGCAGGACUAUUUAAAAAACAACUGAGGCAUCAGGCCAACUUUCCCCACAAGUCCUCGGAUCUUUCCCGCCAUGCUGAUGCCAUAUAUUCCAACAUGAUCAACCUGGCCCCCCAGAAGGAGGACGACUUUGCUGUCUAUGCCAACAUGCCCCCUUUUCAUCACCCCAGGAGGACAUCGCCAGACCAAGUGGAAUAUGCCUCCAUUGUAUUCCUGAUGGGAAGCCAACGAGAUGCUCAGAGUGGGGGUCAGACCUGGCCCAGCUGGAUCGUGGCAUACCCUUUGCUUUAGAUUUAUGUGUGUGUU